CGAGCGGUAGGCGUCCCUUCGGGGGCGCCGAGAGCGGCGAACGGCGGAGUAACACGUGGGUAACCUGCCCCGAAGACUGGGACAACCCGGGGAAACUCGGGCUAAUACCGGAUGUGGAUGGCUUGGCUUCGGCUGGGUCAUCUAAAAGGUUUUCCGCUUCGGGAUGGGCCCGCGACCUAUCAGGUAGUUGGUGAGGUAACGGCUCACCAAGCCUACGACGGGUAGCCGGUCUGAGAGGAUGAUCGGCCCGAGGGGCACUGAGACACGGGCCCCACUCCUACGGGAGGCAGCAGUCGGGAAUUUUGGGCAAUGGGCGAAAGCCUGACCCAGCGACGCCGCGUGGAGGACGAAGCCCUUCGGGGUGUAAACUCCUUUUAGUGGGGACGAACGCAGACGGUACCCACAGAAAAAGCCCCGGCUAACUACGUGCCAGCAGCCGCGGUAAUACGUAGGGGGCGAGCGUUGCCCGAAUUUACUGGGCGCAAAGCGCACGUAGGCGGCUCCGUAAGUCUGGUGUGAAAUCUCACGGCUCAACCGGGAGGCUGCACCAGAUACUGCGGAGCUCGAGGGCGGGAGAGGAGAUUGGAAUUCCCGGUGUAGCGGUGAAAUGCAUUGAUAUCGGGAGGAACACCAGUGGCGAAGGCGGAUCUCUGGCCCGCUUCUGACGCUGAGGUGCGAAAGCUGGGGGAGCGAAAGGGAUUAGAUACCCCUGUAGUCCCAGCCCUAAACGAUGGGCGCUAGGUGUUGGGGGAUUAACUCUCAGCGCCGUAGCUAACGC
rnacentral:rRNA from 1 species